AUGCCUUUUUUAAAAAUUAAGCAUAAAACACCGUAGCUUAUAAAUUAUCUUAAAUAUGUAAGAAGUAUUUUACAUAGUAUUGCAUUUUUUCCUAACCUGCACGAGAAACAAAUAUAUAAGUGAAACAAAUAUCGUUAUUUAUGAAGUUCACUAUACAUAUAUAUAUAUAUAUAUAUAUAUUAUAAUAAUAUACAGAAAGGGGCACGUAGUUUGGAUUAUUUCAAUAAUUUUGUAAAUAAUAACUUUUCUGGAAAUUUUAAUUCCAAGAGGAUACAUAAUUUGAAGGGGACUCUAUGACUACAUUAUUCAGUCCUUUCUAAUCACUUAAACAUACAACAUUUCAAGCAUACUUUUAAUUCUUCAUCAAAUAUAUUGCUUUUAAUAAAGGAUAUAAGUAAUGUUAAUUGAUAUUGUAAAUACAUGACGAUUCUGUGUUCUACUACACACUGCUAUGGUUAAACAUUAAAUGUUUAACAUGUCUGAAAAUGAAGCGUUCAACAUGAUUGAGUUUGUUUUGGCAUUGCCUGCAUGUCUUGUAAUAAAAAGGCGUUUAAUUUCAAUUAAAUAAACAUGGAUUGUAAUAAACAUGUUCUUGUAAUUUUGAAAAUUACAGUGAUAACAAAAAGUCAUAUAAUGGAACAUACACUCCCUGUUGAAUUAUGUAACAAUCGUGUGAACCAAUUUCCGUUGAAAUCAUUAUUUAUGAAGUUAUCGAACUGUUCGCAGUAGAGUGCUUCGUCUUGUAUAUUUAUAAGAGAUUUGAAUAAUGAAUGAAAGAAAAAUGUGAUGGGUAAUUUUAUAUGAUAAAUUAAUAUGAAGGUUAAGAAUAACGAAGUAACUCACGAUUGAAGCUUCAAUCUUCAAUUGUAAAUGUUUAAAAGUUCAGGCACGAAAUGUGUAAAAUUCAAUAAUUCAUUAAAUAUCCUUGUCAAUGGUGGAUCCUUGUCGAAUUAUUGAAUUUACAACGUUUUUUAACUGAACUUUUAAAUAUUUUUAACUAAAGCACGAAGUUCCAGUCGCAAUUCUAUUGUUCCCGAUCUUUACUUUAUUGUGUCCUAUAAAACUGUUUUUUUUUUUUUUUUUAUAUUUUUCACUUGUUACAUAAUACUCUGUGUAUGGAUGUACAAUUAAUCGUGAAAAAUAGGGAAAUUGAAUGUCCUUUAUAAUUAACUCAUAAUGGGGAUAGCUUAGAGUUAGAAUGGGCAAAUCUUACUUUUAAAAGAAUGUUUUUUUAAUUAUUCUAACUAUUCAAUUAGGACAUUGACGUGUGGUUCUAUGUAAAAAGAAUUUGGACAAAAUUAUCUCUAAAAAGAAGAGAUAAUAUUUAUCUAGUUAUCUGACAAUCAUCAAAAUUAUUUUCUAAAUCAAAACUGACAUUCGUAUAUCCUAUUUUUUGCAGUACAUUAUGCACAUAUAAAUUCAUAUUAUACUGUACAACUGAUGUUAUCAAAAAGACACAUCAGAUACAUGAUACAUUAAUGAUACAUGAGAAUAAAAUGAACACAACGAGUAUAUAGAUUUUAUUAUCUCAAUUUUUUUUUCUGUCAAGGAUGUGAAAAAUUAUCCUUCGUCCUUUUUCUUAUUACAAAACGCUUCUGGUCAUUAAAACAUAUAUAUCCUAAGCUGUUUUUUAAAUGCCUUUUUCCGCAAAAAAAUAUUAAUUCACUUAAUGUAUUUACUUCUUGACACUGAAUAGUUUCUUAAAAAUCGAUAUUCUAAAAUUCAUAUAUUAGCAUAUUUAUUUAUAAAAGAUUAAGCUUUAUAUUAUACACACACACGCUUACACAUUAAUUAGUUACACACUUCAUAUAAGACCGGCAAUGAGAUAAUUUAUUUAAAAAACACCUUUUGUCUUUCGACACCAUAUGAACAAUCAUGAUGCUUAAACUACUACCUUUUUAUUAAUUUUUAUAAUUUAUAAAUUUUGUUAUAUACAUAUAUAUAAUUUAAUUUGUCUAAAUAAUGUCUAGAUAAUAUUUAUAAACGUUUAGUAUAUUAAUAAGUGGCAGUACUUUUGGUACGUAUACAAUUUUCUAGUAUUUUAGUUCACAUAAAUGUAAUGCUUCAACUGGUAUAAAUAACUCUGUGAUCAAGCAUAAUACGUGAUUACGCAUUACUACAAUAAAUAAUAUAUAAAUGUUAUAUAAAUUUCGCUUAUAUAUACCGCGCGUGCGAUGACAAUGCUUUGAUUAAGAAAAACGGUAAAUGGUUAUUCGUUUAAUAGCCUACUAUUUAUUUUACUACUCAGUAUUUUGAAUAAUUAUUUAUAAAGUUUGAUCUAUAAUACAAAUUGAUGUUUAACUUGCUACUAGUAUUGGUCCAUAGAUAAACUUCCUUAGAUAAAUAUCCAUAUAAACAAAUGCUUUCAUGGUAAUUUUUGCUAAAAAGUUUUAUGGGUACAAAUGUAAGAACAAAAUUAGAGAACUCAUUAAAUGAACGGUUCUUUAAUGUAUGCAAUGGAUUAAAGUGCAUGAUAACGAAGGUUGCGUAAUUUGUGUUUGACAUCAAUAUCAUCUGUCGUAAUUGCUUCGCAAUUUUGUAUAACGGAAACAAGAUUGUUUUACCAAAUACAAAAUAAUAAUCAUAAAAAUGAAAUUCUAAUGCUAUGGACAUGAAGCUGUUUUUGUUUUGUAUUACUAAUGGUACUAUUGAGUGAUUUUAGGACUAUUAAUGUGUUAGUGUUGCCAACUAACCAAAUUGCAGAAUUGCAAAGGACACAGGUCACCGUAUAAGCCCUAUCUCCCUGGUCCUUUAUAUUCCUAUUAUUUUCAUAAGAAAUUUACGAAUUUCCAACAUAUUUUAUCGUUAAUUGUUUUGUUAAACGUUUAUGGUUGGUUACAUAACAUUCAUUAAAAACAUGUCGAGUCGGCACGAAAUUUCUGAAGUUCCCGGGAUUCUUAUUCUUAUAAGUUUUAAAAUUAAGACGCCUUAUUUUAUGUGUGUGUGUAUAUAUCUAUAUAUAUGCAGGAUGCCCCUGAAGUAUUUUGAUUGCUUCUUUAAGGAGGUUUUAGUAGAGCAAGCAAACCAAAAUGAACGAAUUUUUCAGUAAUAUAGUAAUGUAUUGAUAAGAAGCUGUCAAAUACAUCAAUGUUUAGCAUUAGUAACAUUAUGUGAUGUACUGUGAAACAAGUGGUUUACACAGGCACAAGAGAAAUUGUAAAAUUCCAUAUAAUUGCUAGUAAAACUUCUAAUACAUUGUAAAUGUAUUACUAGAAAAUAAUGUAUUUGUGAAUUAAUCCAGUUUACCUACAAAUCUCCUUAAAGGAGAUAAUCUUUCUCAGAGGAACUGUAUAUCUUAAUAGGGUAAUUAAUCAUUUUUAAUGAAAUUAACAUAGAAUUUUAAUAUAAAUUAUUAAUUUAAAAAAUACUUUUUAUUGCAAUUAUCUGUAUGAUAUAAUUUAUGAUAUAGCUAACUUUAACUAUUAAAUUUGUAAUUUGUUAUUUUCUUUAUGUGUAAUGACUUAUAUUGUAAUCGGUUUCAUUAAUUUUAAAACUUAAUACAAAAUAUAUCCCAUAGUCCAUAUAUUCAUAACAAUUUUAUUAUAUAUAUCAUUUAAAACAUAGAAAAAAUUCAAUUACAAAAAAUAUUAAUUUUAUAUUUAUUAGACCUGUUUUGUAUGUACAAAAUAUAUUGUAUAAUUGAAAGUACAAUUACAUUUUAUCAACAAAUAAUAUUCUGUUUUUGUAAUAGCAAUCCUCCACUUGUACAUACAAUAAAUAGUUUAAUAAUGUAUAUUAAUUUUUGGUCAGAAUUUGACGAUAUAAGUGAAUCUUUAUGUAGCAUUAUAUUGUAGGUUUCCAACUUUUAAUAGAUGGUAUCAACUUGGUGCUUGGAAUGUUGAACAUUACAAACUAGCAUGCAUAUGGGUAACUAGAGAAUGACAAUUUAUUAUAUUUAAAAAGUCCAAAAUAAUAUCCUUAUCUAAUAAUCUUUUUGCAUGAAGCAUGUGAAAUAUUGUAAAUAUUACAUGUAUAUACAGAGUGUCAAUUUGAAAUGUGCAUGUGAAAAAAUUUUAUAGGCAAAAAUUUCCUAUGGAAAAAGAAGGUAAACCUGUAUAAUUUUGCUAAAAUAUCUUCUUUUUCAUCACAGAAUGUCGAAACACAAAUUUUACAGAAAAAUUAAACGAGGUGCAGUUAAACAGUACAUAUGUAUUAAAAUAUUUCUUAUUGUUAUUUAUGGUUGAAAAUUAUUAUAUUCAAUCUCUGUCCUUCAGAUUACUUAAAUAUUUUUAAACAUUAAUAAGCUCAUUCAGAUAAUAAAUAAUUUCAAUAAUGUAACGACGGAUGUACGAAUAAUGUAUUUUAUAUUUAAAAUCGACAUAUAUAUGUAUAUAAUUUUUGGCAACCUUUGUUGUUAUCCAAACAAUGCAUUAAAUGGAUUAAAUAUUGGGGAAACGAUAUAAUGGAAAACAGUUUCUUCUUAAUUGCAAAAGAUUUAGAAAGAUAUACUUUUCUAUAGAAAAUACAUUUUACACAUGCAAUAUCGCAUGUGCAAAAUAUAAUUAUAUUGUUCUUUUCAAAUAGAGAUGUAUACUUAUACUUCCUGUCAUUUUGUGCAUAAAAUAAUUAAGAUGAUUUAAAGUAACAGCUACUACUGUUAAAGAUGCCUCAAUAUUAUUUUAGUACAUUAUAAAGAUUUCAUAUAUAUUUCAUUUAUUGUUUUCGUGCAUAUUAUGAUUUAUGAUCGUUUAUGUAUUUUAUAGAAUUAAAUGGUAUUUGAGGUAUUGUGCAACAUCUCGUUCAUUAUGCUCAGCAUCGUACUGGCAGUGUUCUAAAUUCAAUCAAAUUAGUAGAUAAACAUUAUCACUUAUUGAUAUUAAUUAAAUUAUUAAAAUAUUAAAUAUAUUAAUAACGUAAAUUUAAAAGAUGUUAUCAUUAUAAAGAUACAGAUUAAGUAACAAUAUUAAAAUAUCACUUUACUCGUUAUUACUAAAUCUUAUAUAAUGAUUUAUAUUUCCUUUGUGUAUGUGGAUUUUGUAUAUUGUAUUGCGUAUUUUCAUUAGGUCAAUUAACCCUUUCACUAUUAUGAACACAAUGUUCACGUUUGCUAAAAUAAUUUUCAGUAAAUCGUGAAGAAAUAUUCAAGAUUAUUUAUAUAAAAAUAUAAAAUAUGUAAAAAAGGUAUAAAAAAUAUUACAUCUGUAACAUUGUUAAUUAGAUAAUUUAAUAUAUAAAUCAACAAAAUUGCUAUCAGAGUAACUCUCUUAAACGGAGUAUGUGUAUGCGUUAAUAGUAUGCGUUUCAUACAGCCAUCUGUAGAAUAUACAUCCUGUACGAGGAUCAGUAGAAUAUUCGUAGCGAAAGGGUUAAGCAUUUCAUCAUUUUCUAUGAAAAUUAAUGUGUACAUUCGUUCGUCCUUAAAAUUUCUGAUGAAAUUCUUUUAUCAUUUAGGGAAAAUUGGCAGAAUUGUUUGCGUUUUAUGUCAUCUUUUGUUGCAUGUAAUAUAAAUCUAAAAUUUGUGUGAUUUAAAAGUUUGCCAGAGGUUGAACAUAUAUUUUUGUUCAUACGUGUUAGGACAUCUCUGGAAAAGUCAUUAGGGAAUUAUAAACAUUUUUAAGAAUUUAUUAUUAUUCUAUUUGGAAUCAUUGAUUAUAAGAAUUCCAUAUAUUCAAUAUUUUGGUUAAAAAUCAACUAUUUGUAAAAUUAGAUAAUUUUCUUGUCCAUGUACAUAGAUAUUUCAACCUUCGUAUUACUAGAUAUUCUAUUGUAAUUAUUUUUAUUUGUUGCAAUAUAUAAUUUGACAGCAAUAAAUAUUAAUUAUUUAAUAAAUUAGAUUCAGAUUUUCGAUAGACUUUUCAGAGUUUCCUAUUUUGUCGUAACACCGUAACACUUAGAAAUAAUUUUUUUUUACAAUAAAUAUCCUGUUGUGUUUUGAAUUGCUAUGUCGCACGAAUACAAAGUUCUGACCAAUUAAUCGUGAAAAUGUGGCUUAAUUAUGUUCUUUAAUAAGAUCAACGGUGUCCUAAUACUUAUGAAAGUAAUGUAUGUUGAAUUUUUUCGGUAUUUACCAUGCCAUGGGGUUUACAUCUUAUUAUUUUUAGAGUUUAUGAACGCGUAUUGUGUAACCUUAAUCUCCAUUUUAUAAGAGAAUGUUUAUAUUAGUUGUUGAUGUUGUUUGGUAUUUUCCAUCAUAUAUUCUUGCAGUAUUUCUAGAAAUGCUAUCGCAGAGGUCAUAAAAAUACUUUAUUGUUAGUACAAUGUUAGAUUUCAAUUCUUGUAGGUUUCGUAUUUUCGUUAUUACAUAUUGGCAGUCAUUUGAUAUCGAUGUUAACUGAAUAAAAGUACUCGUUUAAAAUAUCUUACGAUCAUCAUCUUUAUUAUUUUACUUUGAUUUUAUUAUUUUAAUAUGUAUAAUAAAACAUACUUUCAGAGGUGUAAUUAUAAAUAUGUUUACUGAAAUGGUAAAUUAUGACAUGUGCCACUAAACUAUAUUUAAAUUUAUUUAUUAGAAUGAUUUACAUAGAGUACAUAUUUUGAGUAUAUAGUUCGCAAUUUUUUUAAGGAGAUUAAGGAGAUGUUCUUAAUUGAUUUCAAGUAUACUGUUGAACGUUUUCUAUUUGCUAUGAUUCAGUAAAAUUGCUUCAUCAACAAUGAUUAAUUAUUAUUUUUCUUAGACAGUAAAAAUAAAAAAAUAAUUACAGAAAUAAUAAUACAGACGAAAAUUCUUAAUUCUAAUUAUACCAUAUCAUUUGGUCAAGUAAAAAUUAAUACUACCAUGACAUAUGGCUCUAAAGAGAUUAUUUUUGACACACAAAGUAACAAACUUUUUUACACAUUUUAGCAAAUACUAUUCAUCACAGCGAUGAGUUCAAUUUUUUUGACAUCCUGUAUUAUAUAUAAUAUAUACAAGAAGUACGAAUUAUUUUAUAUACUUAAUUUUCUUUUAUAAAUUUUUAAUUAUCGAUCAUAUUGGAGCAUCCCAAUUUUUAUCCUAUUAAAAAAAAUUGAGAACCGCCAUCCGUGUACAGAGUGGUGAAUUGAAUAAGUAUGUUAACAAAUGGUUAAAAAGGAAAAUAAAAAGAAAUAACGGGA